rnacentral:lncRNA from 1 species
AUGGGGGAACACAGGCUUUGGUUAAGAUGGGAGAACAGUGUGACAAAGCUCAGAACUGUUCACAUUGAGAUGUGGAAACCUGGAGGUCCCAGCCCUGGCUAUGAGGUCCUCUCCACUGUCAGCCAGAUAAAGAUGUUGGUCCAUCUUCAGACUUUCUCCUUAGGUUCUGCAUUUGUAGUGCCAAGGAAGUGUUUGAUCCCCCUUCAUCUCCUAUCCCAAGAUAGGAGCCCAUCUGAUGCAACUCACAGCAGAGUCUUUAUUCGAGCUAACCUAAUCAACCCAUCUCCCUGUACACCAUCAUCGUGGGGCAAGGCUUUAUAGUAAGCAUCGAAUUGGAAAGCUAUUGUGACCUUCAACAUAAUUGGCUGGUGCUGGGAGUCAUAUCAUAAACUUAACUUCUGCUUUCCGCUGCAUUGGUGGUCGUUAGGCAGAUGGCAGGCUUGUUAUCUGGGGGUGCAGGUUUGUUGCAGGGGAAUAACCUGGAGAUGCUGGUCUUCUUGGGGAUUAGCCUGGAGACUGGAGCUAGGCUCUGGUUUUGCUGGGGGGCAACUUGGAAACGAAUGCUAGGUACCAGCCUGUUAGUUUACCUGAGUUCAAACUUUAGGUCUCUAGAAUGGAGUCUGAAUUUAAAAGAUUUGGCCUCUUACAUGAGAGACGUCUCUGUCUCAUGUAGAUGAGAACUAGUGUGCACAGGGUUGCAUGUGACAAUUGGCUCUGCAGCUGAGUAAUGUCAUCUCUUCUUCACUCUUAAUGUGGAGAUUUGAACGUGUGCCUCUCAAAGUGUCUGUGACAAUCUAAGUAAGGAAUGUAACUGCCUCUGGCCAGUAUUGUCUGACGUACUGGGACGCCAGCUUGGGUUUUAUGUUAACCGUUGGUUAUAGUCCACUAUAUUCUGUAUGCAAGCAGUCUCCAAAAAGUUUGCUCUUUCUCUGCUAAUUAGAAAGAUAGGCUCAUAUACAAAGUCACGUGCUGGGAUUAAAGGCGUGCACCACCACUGCCGGGCUGUGUUAUUGCCCAGAGAACACUGUUCCACAACACAAAAGUGAAGUUUAAUUGGUAAAAGAGCAAAUGGUAUUCAUGGUGGACAUUUUCCUUGUCUUCCUAUAUUUACUAGAGAUGUCAAAUAUGUAUUCCUAAUUCUCAAUAUUUACCAACUCAAAAGUGUUGAAAAUGGUCCUUCGGUUCAGAUAUGCAAAUCUGUUCUUCUAUGAAGAAUAAAGAAUUAAAGUUGUCGACACUUGUUCACU